ACUGCCACCCUCUCCCAGGUCUAGAGAGGGGUACCCACGGUGGAGGGAGGUGGGAGGCCGAGACGGCCCCGGGGGUCGGCGGAGACCCAGCGGGAGCAGGGGGAAAUCGGAAGAGCUGGGGGCAUGGAGCGGGCGAGUUUGGAGCGGAAUGAGCCGGGAGCCCUACGUUGUGGAAGGAAGACAACAGUAUAGGACCAUCAGCAGGACCGGACAGAGAGGGACCAGGCUGGCCUUGAACUCAGAAAUCCGCCUGCCUCUGACUCCCGAGUGCUGAGAUUAAAGGUGUGCACCACCACACCCGACAAGGAAGCCUGUUUUAAGAAGUGAUUCCAUGGAGGAGUUCUGCGGCGGCUCAGGGCUUGACUAAACAGUGGACCUCAGACAAGAGAGGCUAAACCAGGCUGCAGGUGACAGGAAGAAUUGAAUAAACUGAAAGCAAAGGGCAGCCUUCUAAUUACGCUUCGUGGCUAUGUGGACAACCUGGAGAAGUCUGGAAACCCAGCCCCACCCCAUCACAUUCUUACUCCUUCCCUUUCCAAGAAAGAAGCCAGAAGCCCGAAGCCAGCAGUAGAGCUCUGACUGGCUUGUAUGCCUAGAAAGGAAGGGCUCUUCUUUCGCCUCACGGGCACAAAUGGGACCCACGAGCGCCGAUUUCAGACUAUUCUGAUCCCUUCAAAAAGAAAGUUAGGAGUCCAGGCUACUGUGAGUGAAUUUGAUUCUAAUUGUUUCAGAGAAUAUGGAAUAAAAUAUCUCAUUUGCA
rnacentral:lncRNA from 1 species